rnacentral:rRNA from 1 species
UACCAGCUCUCCGAGUGGUAGGGAUGAUUAUUGGGCUUAAAGCGUCCGUAGCCGGCUUAGCAAGUCUCCUGUUAAAUUCAGCGACCUAAUCGUUGAGCCGCGGGAGAUACUACUAGGCUAGGAGGCGGGAGAGGUCAACGGUACUUCCGGGGUAGGGGUGAAAUCCUAUAAUCCCGGGAGGACCACCAGUGGCGAAGGCUGUUGACUAGAACGCGCUAGACGGUGAGGGACGAAAGCUGGGGGAGCGAACCGGAUUAGAUACCCGGGUAGUCCCAGCUGUAAACGAUGCGAGCUAGGUGUUGGGGUGGCUACGUGCCACUUCAGUGCCGCAGGGAAGCCAUUAAGCUCGCCGCCUUGGGAGUACGGCCGCAAGGCUGAAACUUAAGGAAUUGGCGGGGAGCACCACAAGGCGUGAAGCUUGCGGUUC